rnacentral:lncRNA from 1 species
UUUGUUAGUUGACGAUGCAAUCAGCAUGCUGAUUAAGGUUGCUUGGUUUUUUACUAAACAUUAACUGAAUGAAAACGGGUAGUCCUUGUUCUGCUUGGGGGGCUUUAAGGAAGCAAAUGGACUUUCAGAACAGAGAUUGUCAAUAAAGAUCCAAUGUGAUAAUUUAUGUGAAAUCUUUCUGCAAACUAUACAGUAUGAUAAAAAUAUAAGGUAGUUUCACUGGAAACAACAGAAGACUAGAAGCUGAUGUGACGUGGCAAUAUCAACCAGGAAUACCCAUCUCGAGUUCUGGAUAUGUGCUCUGAGAAGGUGCCCAUGUCACCGACCACACUGGAGGCCAAUGCAGAUACUGGGGGAAGGUUCCAUGGUAGCUAAGUGUGGACAAGCUAAUCACUGAAGUUCCCUGAUGCAGAGUUGAUAAUCUCUCUAGAGUUGGAUGAAAGACUGUGCUGCCUUGAAGCUCUGAGAGAUGCCAUGCCAAUUCAAGGCAGGGUCUUUAUUGUUGAAACUCUUGCGUAAUGACAUCUUUAUUCAGGUGAAAAUACAGGAUGAAUUUCAACUAUAUGAUAUUGUUUAUGUUCCUCAGACAUGUUAUUUGUCUUUACAAAGAUUGGUUUCAAUAAACUGUGUGACUGAUAUUAAAUAAACAUGGAAUUUUACACAUUCAUAAUAAAAAAAAAA